UAGGGUCAAAGCAGUCGCUCUGAGAGAGCUCCAUACAUCCGUGUUAAAAGGGGUAUUUUCAUAGUUUGGUUAUAUUUGCGGGUCUUUACUCUCAAAAUGUUAAUAAUCAUCUCUUCCAACUAGAAAUUGAAGCUUCAAGCGUGAGCGGAUUCUGCGAUUAUUUAAAAGCGAGUUGUGCGCCAGCCAGGAGAGAGAACAUUACAAACCUGUUUCGGACGUGCGCCAGCCGGGGAGAAUUCAAGCCUGAAGAAGAGGUGCUAGAACCAGUGCAGACCUCUCCUUCAUUCAAACCUUCGGGGGGUUGGAGGCAACCAUUGACGCCCAAGGAUAGAUCCCUACCUGCGUUCUUUGCCAGGAGACAUCGAGCAGCUCCCGGAGAAGGAGGACACCUGUUGACUGGUGCUCAAACAACCUCCAGAUCCAGACCUCAUUUAGCACAUUCAUCACAGCUGAACUGG